rnacentral:rRNA from 1 species
GAUGAACGCUGGCGGCGUGCCUAAUACAUGCAAGUCGAGCGAACAGACGAGGAGCUUGUUCCUCUGACGUUAGCGGCGGACGGGUGAGUAACACGUGGAUAACCUACCUAUAAGACUGGGAUAACUUCGGGAAACCGGAGCGAAUACCGGAUAAUAUAAUGAACCGCAUGGUUCAAUAGUGAAAGACGGUUUUGCUGUCACUGAUAGAUGGUUCCGCGCCGCAGUAGCUAGUUGGUAAGGUAACGGUUUACCAAGGCAACGAUGCGUAGCCGACCUGGGAGGGUGAUCGGCCACACUGGAACUGAGACACGGUCCAGACUCCUACGGGAGGCCGCAGUAGGGAAUCUUCCGCGAUGGGCGAAAGCCUGACGGCGCAACGCCGCGUGGGUGAUGAAGGUCUUCGGAUCGUAAAACUCUGUUAUUAGGGAAGAACAAAUGUGUAAGUAACUAUGCACGUCUUGACGGUACCUAAUCAGAAAGCCACGGCUAACUACGUG